GCCCGUAUGGUCUAGUGGUAUGACGUUCGCCUCACACUCCACAAAUGUGGUCGCGACAGGUCCCAGGUUCGAGCCCUGGUGUGGGCA